UACAGAGGGUGCGAGCGUUAAUCGGAAUUACUGGGCGUAAAGCGCGCGUAGGCGGCUUUGCAAGUCGGGUGUGAAAUCCCCAGGCUUAACCUGGGAACUGCAUUCGAGACUGCAUUGCUAGAGUAUGGGAGAGGGAAGUGGAAUUCCCGGUGUAGCGGUGAAAUGCGCAGAUAUCGGGAGGAACACCAAUGGCGAAGGCAGCUUGCUGGGACGGUACUGACGCUGAGACGCGAAAGCGUGGGGAGCAAACAGG
rnacentral:rRNA from 1 species